UUGUAAAUAGGGCAAAGCGGGCGAAAGCUCGUGACGCAAAGCUAUAGGGACUUUAACAUGUCAGCCAGUUGCAACU
rnacentral:ncRNA from 1 species